rnacentral:rRNA from 1 species
GUGGAUGCGGCGGCUACCAUGCAAGUCGAGCGAACCUUCGGGUUAGCGGCGGACGGGUGAGUAACGCGUGGGAACGUACCCUCUUCUGCGGGAUAGCCACUGGAAACGGUGAGUAAUACCGCAUACGCCCUUCGGGGGAAAGAUUUAUCGGAGGAGGAUCGGCCCGCGUUGGAUUAGGUAGUUGGUGGGGUAAUGGCCUACCAAGCCUACGAUCCAUAGCUGGUUUUAGAGGAUGAUCAGCCACACUGGGACUGAGACACGGCCCAGACUCCUACGGGAGGCAGCAGUGGGGAAUCUUAGACAAUGGGCGCAAGCCUGAUCUAGCCAUGCCGCGUGAGUGACGAAGGCCUUAGGGUCGUAAAGCUCUUUCGCCAGAGAUGAUAAUGACAGUAUCUGGUAAAGAAACCCCGGCUAACUCCGUGCCAGCAGCCGCGGUAAUACGGAGGGGGUUAGCGUUGUUCGGAAUUACUGGGCGUAAAGCGCACGUAGGCGGAUUGGAAAGUUGGGGGUGAAAUCCCAGGGCUCAACCCUGGAACUGCCUCCAAAACUCCCAGUCUGGAGUUCGAGAGAGGUGAGUGGAAUUCCGAGUGUAGAGGUGAAAUUCGUAGAUAUUCGGAGGAACACCAGUGGCGAAGGCGGCUCACUGGCUCGAUACUGACG